AUGGCCAAAGCCGCCGCGUCCCUUCUCCCCGGUCUUCUCCCGACCCCGCAGAUGAAGCCGUGCCUCAUCAUCCUGCCGGCUUCCUUCGCCUCCAAGCCCAACCCCAUGCCCGGCCGUGCCGACUCCGUUGAGAGGUGGGAAUGGGAUGCGCACAAGAAGGACAAGAAGCCCACUACCCCAGCGGCCCAGCCUCGUCGUGCUGCAGCAGCUCAAGUCCCGGCCGAGCCUCAUCCUGCGAGUGUUGGGACAUAA
rnacentral:rRNA from 1 species